rnacentral:hammerhead_ribozyme from 1 species
AUCCAGUUGACGAGUCCCAAAUAGGACGAAACGCUCGUCCUGAAU